rnacentral:rRNA from 1 species
UACAGAGACUGCAGGCGUAUUCGGAUUCACUGGGCGUAAAGGGUGCGCAGGCGGUUGUGUGUGUCAGGUGUGAAAGCCCGGGGCUUAACCCCGGAAUUGCGCCUGAAACUACAUGACUAGAGCAUUGGAGAGGGUAGCGGAAUUCACGGUGUAGCAGUGAAAUGCGUAGAUAUCGUGAGGAACACCAGAGGCGAAGGCGGCUACCUGGACAAUUGCUGACGCUCAGGCACGAAAGCGUGGGGAGCAAACAGG